CACACACAUUCACUGACAGAUACGCAUUCACUAGCUAACAGAAACACAGUCACUAACAGACACACACUCACACACUCACUAACAGACACACACACACACUAACAGGCAAACACACACACUAACAGACAUCCACACACUAACACUAACAUACAUACACUAACAUUAACAUACACACUAACACUAACAGACACACUGACACACACACACCAACAUACACACACUAACAUACACACACUAACACUAACAUACAUACACACUAACAUACACACUAACAGACAUCCACACACACACUAGCAGACAUACACACACUCACUAGUUUUUUUUUUGUUUUUGUUUUUAACCCCCCCCCAGCCUCCUUACCUUUGGUAAUGCUGGGGGGGGUUCUUCU